rnacentral:rRNA from 1 species
UCCGUAGGUGAACCUGCGGAAGGAUCAUUAUCGUGCCAAAGGCUGUUGUCCCUCGGGAUGGCUAGUCUUUGUUACCCUUACCCUCUGUCUUUGUGCACCAUGUUUGUUUCCUUGGUAGGCUUGCCUGCCAUUGAAAUCCACCCACAACCUCUUUGCAAUUGCAUUCAACGUCUGAUAAAUUAAUAAUUACAACUUUUAACAAUGGAUCUCUUGGUUCUGGCAUCGAUGAAGAACGCAGCGAAAUGCGAUAAGUAAUGUGAAUUGCAGAAUUCAGUGAAUCAUCGAAUUUUUGAACGCAAAUUGCACUCUCUGGUAUUCCGGAGAGUAUGCCUGUUUGAGGGUCAUUAAAAUCAAAAUCGAUUUGUUUACUUUGGUAACUUGGUAACGUUUCGGAAUUGGGUCAUCUUAAACCUUCAGGUUCAAGAGGCUUAAAAUUGAUCGUUUUUUGGUAUGAAUUAAGCGUAUUUAAGAUCUCUUAUCACGCGCUUGACUCCUAUCGGAUGUUUAUUAGGCGUGACCGUGAUCAUGGUUUCGCGCCCAUAAUCUUUCAUGAAAUGACCUCAAAUCAGGUAGGAAUACCGCUGAACUUAAGGCAUAUCAAUAAGGCGGGAGGGGAAGGUC